rnacentral:rRNA from 1 species
GACGUAGGGUGCAAGCGUUGUCCGGAUUUAUUGGGCGUAAAGAGCUCGUAGGCGGCUUGUUGCGUCGACUGUGAAAACCCGCGGCUUAACCGCGGGCUUGCAGUUGAUACGGGCAGGCUAGAGUUCGGUAGGGGAGACUGGAAUUCCUGGUGUAGCGGUGAAAUGCGCAGAUAUCAGGAGGAACACCGGUGGCGAAGGCGGGUCUCUGGGCCGAUACUGACGCUGAGGAGCGAAAGCGUGGGGAGCGAGCAGG